rnacentral:SRP_RNA from 1 species
CCGUGCUAGACGGGGAGGUAGCGGUGCCCUGUAACCCGCAAUCCGCUAUAGCGGGGUUGAAUUCCAGUUAGAGGUAUUGUUGAUGUAACGUCAGCCUUUUACACGUAGUGUUGACGGUCAGGUCUCUCGCAAUGGAAGCCUGUGAAUCCGGUCAGGUUCGGAAGAAAGCAGCCGUAAGCAGGAUGUUCCAUGUGCCGAGGGGUCGCCUGACUUGAGCUAACGAUAAAAGCAGCGGUUAUGUCGCAACUAUCAAUAACUGGUGCAUGG